CGCGUAGGCUGUCUGACAAGUCAGAUGUGAAAUCCCGGGGCUUAACCCCGGUAGGUCAUUUGAAACUGUCAGACUUGAGUGAGGUAGAGGAAAGCGGAAUUCCUGGUGUAGCGGUGAAAUGCGUAGAUAUCAGGAGGAACAUCUGUGGCGAAGGCGGCUUUCUGGACCUAAACUGACGCUGAUGCGCGAAGGCGUGGGUAGCAAACG
rnacentral:rRNA from 1 species